rnacentral:rRNA from 1 species
CAUGCAUGUCUAAGUAUGAACUGGUUUAAGGUGAAACUGCGUACGGCUCAUUACAUCAGCUAUAACUUUCUUUGAUCAUACAUUCUAAAUGGAAUAACCGAGGAAAAGCCUGGGCUAAUACAUGCGACAAUUCCGGUAGUAAUAUCGGAAUGCUUUUAUUAGAUCAAAACCUUCUAGUUCUUUCACGAGAACUGUUUGUUGGUGACUCUAAAUAACUUUGUGUUGAUCGUAUGACCUUAGUGUCGACGACAUAUCUUUCAAGUGUCUGACUUAUCAACUUUAGACGGUACAUUAUAUGUCUACCGUGGUUGUAACGAGUACAGAGAAUCAGGGUUUGGUUCUGGAGAGGCCGCCUGAGAAACGGCGACCACUUCCAAGGAAGGCAGCAGGCGCGCAAAUUACCCACUCUCAAAACGAGGAGGUAGUGAAGAGAAAUAACGAUGUUAGUCUUAUAUAGGCUGACAAUCGGAAUGGGAACACUGUAAACAGGUUAUCGAUUAACAAUUGGAGGGCAAGUCUGGUGCCAGCAGACGCAAAAGCUCGUAGUUGAAUUUCGGGUAUUUGUUGCUAGCUGGUCUCAAUGGCCAUGUUGGUUAACAGAUCCUCAUUUGCUGGACGGCUGGCGAUGAUCUUUACCGAUUGUCGUCAGUUGCCAGAACGUUUACUUUGAGAAAAUUAGAGUGCUAAAAGCAGGCUCACGCCUAUAUAUAUUGCAUGGAAUAAUGAAAUAAGAUCUCGAUUUUAUUUCGUUGGUUUUAGAAAUUGAGAUAAUGAUUAAUAGGAUCAGAGGGGGGCGUACGUACUGUGGUGUGAGAGGUGAAAUUCUUGGAUCGCCACAGGACGAACAGCAGCGAAGGCGUUCGCCAAGAAUGUUUUCAUUAAUCAAGAACGAAAGUUUGAGGUUCGAAGACGAUUAGAUACCGUCCUAGUUCAAACCAUAAACGUUGCCAACUGUCUUUUAGAUGCGGUUAUUUAUAUGACUCAUCUGGCGGAUCUCGAGAAAUCUAAGUUUUUAGGUUCCGGGGGAAGUAUGGUUGCAAAGCUGAAACUUAAAAGAAUUGACGGAAGGACACACAAGAAGUGGAGCCUGUGGCCUAAUUUGACUCAACACGGGAAACCUUACUCGGCCAGGACACUUUUAGGAUUGACAGAUUGAGAGCUCUUUCUUGAUUAGGUGGGUGGUGGUGCAUGGUCGUUCGUAGUUCGUGGAGCGAUUUGUCUGAUUAAUUUCGAUAACGAACGAGACUCCGGCUUACUAAAUAGUCUAAAGUUCGCAGGGACUUUUCAUGACUUCUUAGCAGGAUAAGUGGCACUUUUUAAGCCACACGAAAUGGAGCAAUAACAGGUCUGUGAUGCCCUUAGAUGUCCGAGGCUGCACGCGCGCUACACUGGAGAGUUCAGAAUGUUUCUUCCUACUUCGACAGAAGUGGGUAACCAUGAAAUUCUCUUCGUGACUGGGAUCGGAGCUUGCAAUUAUUCUCCGUCAACGAGGAAUUCCUAGUAAGCACUAUUUCAUCAGAAUGUGCUGAUUAUGUCCCUGUCCUUUGUACACACCGCCCGUCGCUACUACCGAUUGAAUGUUUUAGUGAGAUCUUCGGCUUGGUUUUCCGAGCGGCUUAACCGUCGCUCGGUUUAUAUCGAAAGAUGCUCAAACUGGAUCAUUUAGAGGAAGUAAAAGUCGUAACAAGGUAUUCGUAGUGACUG